GCGCGGAAGAUGUAACGGGGCUAAACCAUGCACCGAAGCUGCGGCAGCGACACAAAGUGUUGUUGGGUAGGGGAGCGUUCUGUAAGCCUGCGAAGGUGUACUGUGAGGUAUGCUGGAGGUAUCAGAAGUGCGAAUGCUGACAUAAGUAACGAUAAUGCGGGUGAAAAACCCGCACGCCGGAAGACCAAGGGUUCCUGUCCAACGUUAAUCGGGGCAGGGUGAGUCGACCCCUAAGGCGAGGCUGAAAAGCGUAGUCGAUGGGAAACGGGUUAAUAUUCCCGUACUGGUGGUAACUGCGAUGGGGGAACGGAGAAGGCUAGGUUGUCCGGGCGACGGUCGUCCCGGUUCAAGCAGGUAGGCAGAGUGAUUAGGCAAAUCCGGUCACUUAAUGCUGAGAUGUGAUGACGAACCACUAAGGUGGUGAAGCAAUUGAUGCCCCGCUUCCAGGAAAAGCCUCUAAGCUUCAGGUUACCAACAAUCGUACCCCAAACCGACACAGGUGGUCAGGUAGAGAAUACUCAGGCGCUUGAGAGAACUCGGGUGAAGGAACUAGGCAAAAUGGUGCCGUAACUUCGGGAGAAGGCACGCUGGCGGUAGGUAAAGUCCCUUGCGGACGGCGCUGAA
rnacentral:rRNA from 1 species